rnacentral:Y_RNA from 1 species
AUCUGGUCUGAUGGUAGUGGGUUAUCAGGACUUACUAACAUUAGUGCUACUAAAGUUGGUAUACAAUCCUCCACUGUUAAAUUUUCUGGCUUUAA